rnacentral:rRNA from 1 species
GAGGAAUAUUGGACAAUGGAUGGAAAUCUGAUCCAGCCAUGCCGCGUGCAGGAAGACGGCCCUAUGGGUUGUAAACUGCUUUUGUAUGGGAGCAAUAAGAUCUACGUGUAGAUUGAUGAGAGUACCAUACGAAUAAGCAUCGGCUAACUCCGUGCCAGCAGCCGCGGUAAUACGGAGGAUGCGAGCGUUAUCCGGAUUCAUUGGGUUUAAAGGGUGCGCAGGCGGAUAUAUAAGUCGGAGGUGAAAUUCUGAUGCUCAACAUCAGCCGUGCCUUCGAUACCGUAUAUCUAGAGUCAAGUUGGAGUAGGCGGAAUGUGUUGUGUAGCGGUGAAAUGCUUAGAUAUAACACAGAACACCGAUCGCGAAGGCAGCUUACUAAACUUUGACUGACGCUCAUGCACGAAAGCGUGGGGAUCAAAC